AGCGAACGCUGGCGGCAGGCCUAACACAUGCAAGUCGAACGAACCCUUCGGGGUUAGUGGCGGACGGGUGAGUAACACGUGGGAACGUGCCUUUAGGUUCGGAAUAACUCAGGGAAACUUGUGCUAAUACCGAAUGUGCCCUUCGGGGGAAAGAUUUAUCGCCUUUAGAGCGGCCCGCGUCUGAUUAGCUAGUUGGUGAGGUAAGGGCUCACCAAGGCUACGAUCAGUAGCUGGUCUGAGAGGAUGACCAGCCACAUUGGGACUGAGACACGGACCAAACUCCUACGGGAGGCAGCAGUGGGGAGUUUUGCGCAAUGGGCGAAAGCCUGACGCAGCCAUGCCGCGUGGAUGAUGAAGGUCUUAGGAUUGUAAAAUCCUUUCACCGGUGAAGAUAAUGACUGUAGCCGGAGAAGAAGCCCCGGCUAACUUGGUGCCAGCCGCCGCAGUAACAC
rnacentral:rRNA from 1 species